AUAUAUUCUUAGAGCAAAGCUUUUAAGCACCCCAAAUCCCAUCUAUCUACACCUCAAAGUCGGUCUACUGUUCUUCGCUUUCUUGCUUUUCUUCUUCUUCUUCAGGACAUUGAUUCAGUGCAGCUGAAGUGGGUAUUUCCUGGUUUUGAAGGAAAGAAAAAGGGGAAAUUUUUUUGGUUCACAUAAGAGCUUGGUUUAGUGCUUAAACAAGUCAAGAAUGGUGAAAAAUGAAGUGAGUAUUUCCUGGAUUUGAAGAGAAUAGGGGAAAUUUGUGGUUCAAAGGGCUUAUCUUUCUGUAAUUUUUGUGGUUUAGUUCAUAAACAGGUGAAGAACUGAAGUGGGUUUUUACUGGUUUUGAAGAGAAAAAAAGGGGGAGAAAAUUUUGGGUUCAAAGUGCUGAUCUUUGUGUAAUUUUGGUUCACAUAGGAGCUUUGUUUAGUGCAUAAACAAGUCAAGAUGGAGGACACUUAUAUGGGUUUUUCAUGGUUUUGAAGAAAAAGGUUCAAAGGACUAAUAUCGCUGUAAUUUUGGUUCACAUUGGGGCUUUAGGGUUAGUGCAUAAAUUUUUUGAUUGAAAGACUUGAUUUUCGUUUGAAAUGGAAGGAGUGAUGGGUGGAAACACUGUUCAUCCAAAUUCAAUCAAUAAAUCUGAAGUUUUGGAUGUAAAACCAGUGCGUACCUUGGUUCCUAUAUUCCCAGAGCCAUCCGAGGGUCCUCCAUUUGUUUGCGUGCCUCCUAACGGCCCUUUCCCAUCUGGAUUUUCCCCAUUUUUCCCAUUUAGUGGAUCAAACCCAAAUCCUAAUCCUAACCAAAAUGAUAUCAAUCCAACUCCUGCCCCGGUUCGGCCAUUUACAGCUGAAACUUCCAAUGGCCAAAAUGUGUCACCGAUGGGUACACAUGUUAAUCAAGGACAAAAACCGGCUCCUUCGUAUCCUGUCAAGAAAAGGGGAAGGGGAAGACCGAGGACUCGGUUUCCUUAGAAACCAAAAUCGGUUAGUUUCAAUCCUGGAAUUAGUUUGUCUGAACAAUAAAGAUGUUAACAUGGAAUAAGUAGAAAAAUGUGCUUUUGAGGUUUGAUGCUAGCAGAAGAAAAGCUUAGCCAAAUGGAAGAGGCGAAUGAGUCGAAUUCCGGCAUUGUUUAACAUGCAGAGUUGAAAGCUGGCAACAUGAGAAUCCGGGCUGUUUGAUGUUGGAACCGGUGACAAUCGUUAUCUUCCAAAUGGAGUUGUGCUUGGUGAGGUUAUAUUCUCGGUUUAGUAAGGGUGUGAUUUAGAGGGGAUAGCUAGUAGCUUUAAGCAUUUGUAUUUAGCUAGUAGCUUUAAGCAUUUGUAUUCUGAGAGCAAGUAGAUUUUAAUGUAUUUAGAGAGUCGUCGGUCAUUGGAGACGUUUGGGAUCUUUGCUUGUCAUUGUGUAAUCAUGCAACUCUCUCUGUGUAAUCCUGUGUUAAAUGUUAGUAGCUUUGUAUUAGGGAGUGAGUGCCGAAUAUUCGAUAUGUUGGAUAUGAAUAUGUUUCGUUCAUCGUGUUCCUAA